UAAAAAUUAAUCCAUGGGAGCCCAACUUCAAUUCGUCAUUGAUUACAGAGCUCUCUGUUUAUUCCUAGGGCAGUUGCUCCUUCUAAUGAACGUUCACAGAUACAUAGGCACACUGGAGUUAGAGGUUUGAGGGGCCUAAUCAUUCUCACAUAUUUGUCUUUUUCCCACGUCACCCAGAGGCGCAUAAUCCAAAUCAGAAGCAAGUCAGAGGGAGAGGGAAGGAGAGUCCAUUGAGAAUGCCUAUAUCUUGUGCAAGCUUUGCUGCUAAAGUCCCACAUGUCUUCGGUGAGAGAAAAGGGAAUAACAGCAGCUUCACCCCCACCCAUGUAGGAGGUUUCUUCCUGUUCUUCAAUCUCCACAAUAGAAGCCGCAAUAUCCCUUCCCAAAACAUUGCUUCUGUCUCUAAUCACACCCACUCUUGUUUGACAAUGGAGGGCCAGUACCAGACGACGGUUGCAUGCCCAGAAGCAGACAAGUAUCGCAAAGAAUUGGAUGUUGCUGUCAGAGCUAUUCAGAUGGCAUGUUCUCUCUGUCAGAGAGUGCAGGAAAGUUUGAUUUCUAAGACCAAUGGUCAGAUUCAAUCCAAGGAUGACAAUUCUCCGGUCACUAUUGCAGAUUGGAGUGUCCAAGCAACUGUCAGCUGGCUACUCUCCAAGUGUUUUGGGAGUAGAAAUGUAUCCAUAAUGGCUGAAGAAGAUGUUCAAAAUAUCUCCAAGGCAGGUACAGCAGGACUCCUAGAAGCUGUGGUGAAAACUGUGAAUGAAUGUCUAGCUGAUGCACCUCGAUUUGGAUUAAUAGGUCCAGAAAUGGUCCUUGGGACAAAAGAGGUUCUUGAGGCCAUCAGUCGAUGCAACUCAGAAGGGGGCCAUACUGGAAGAUUUUGGGUGCUUGACCCUGUUGAUGGCACAUUAGGCUUUGUACGUGGGGAUCAAUAUGCCAUUGCCUUGGCAUUGAUAGAGGAUGGAGAAGUGGUGCUUGGAGUUCUUGGGUGUCCUAAUUACCCAAUGAAGAAGGAAUGGUUGAGCUACCAUCACCGCUACUAUAGGAUUAUAUCCAAGUUGACUCCACCGACAUCUGAUUCUUGGGAUAAAGGUUGUGUAAUUUAUGCUAGGAGAGGCAGUGGCAAGGCUUGGAUGCAGCCAUUACUCAAUGGAAAUAAGAAGCUUGAAUGGCCAAACUCUGCUAGGCCAGUUCAAGUGUCCUCCAUUGAUAAUCCAGCAUUGGCAACCUUCUGUGAGCCAGUUGAGAAGGCAAAUUCAAGCCAUUCCUUCACAACAGGACUGGCUCACAGCGUAGGGCUUAGGAAGCAACCGUUACGUGUAUACAGCAUGGUGAAGUAUGCAGCCAUAGCCCGUGGUGAUGCAGAGAUUUUUAUGAAGUUUGCAAGAGCUGGCUACAAGGAAAAGAUAUGGGAUCAUGCAGCUGGGGUUGCUAUCAUACAAGAGGCUGGUGGCAUGGUAACUGAUGCCGGAGGGCGUCCAUUGGACUUCUCAAAGGGAAUAUACUUAGAAGGUCUUGAUCGGGGAAUAAUUGCUUGUUCUGGAGCCAAAUUACAUGACAAGAUUAUUAUGGCUGUUGAUGCUAGCUGGAACUCCUCUAGUCUAUGAGGUAUUGCUGUACAUCACCAAUAAGAGCAUAAGAUACUCAAAUUUAGGCAAACUUGAUCUCCCGUUUCUGGAAUGGCAAACUGGAUUGCAGGGAACACAAAUUGCUUCAAAGGAGUUGCUGAAGAAAAGCAACUGGUAAAUCUAGCAGUGUUAGAGAAUCUUUGACUGUGAAUAUCAGGUGUGGAUGGCUUACUAGUCUGGUGAUUGUAGAAAUAUCGCCAUGGUCUGUUUCAUCUUGCAAAUGAUCCUUCACUUGGGAUUCCUUUCAUAGCUUGAGUGUACGGAAGUCACAGAUGCUUGAUUUUUCAUCAAUGGCAUGUAUCUUUUGCAAUAUAGUUAAUAUUUACGAGGAUCAGGGUCACCUACUCAUAUGUAUUUACAUCUCUGAUUAAUGCAUGGAAGAAUUAGUGUGAAGUUUGAGGUGAAA